rnacentral:piRNA from 1 species
UAAAGUUGGAGCAAAGCAUACUUCCAUUGU